rnacentral:rRNA from 1 species
CCAGACUCCUACGGGAGGCAGCAGUGGGGAAUAUUGCACAAUGGGGGAAACCCUGAUGCAGCGACGCCGCGUGAGCGAAGAAGUACCUCGGUAUGUAAAGCUCUAUCAGCAGGGAAGAAAAUGACGGUACCUGACUAAGAAGCCCCGGCUAACUACGUGCCAGCAGCCGCGGUAAUACGUAGGGGGCAAGCGUUAUCCGGAUUUACUGGGUGUAAAGGGAGCGUAGACGGUCCUGCAAGCCAGAUGUGAAAGCCCGGGGCUCAACCCCGGGACUGCAUUUGGAACUGUAAGGCUAGAGUGUCGGAGAGGCAGGCGGAAUUCCUAGUGUAGCGGUGAAAUGCGUAGAUAUUAGGAGGAACACCGGCGGCGAAGGCGGCCUGCUGGACCGCGACUGACGUUGAGGCUCGAAAGCGUGGGGAGCGAACAGGAUUAGAUACCCGUGUACUG